rnacentral:lncRNA from 1 species
UUAAGAAUGUUGUACAACAAGUGAGAGACAAAUCCCAGAAUGCAUGAGAGCUUACCCAACAAAUCUCUCCACUGAAAGAAAGAUAGAUAUCCGAAAACUCCAUUUAUCAAAAGAAAGAUAUCCGAAAACUAGAAAUUCGUCCUACCUAUUUUUCAGACCAAAACACCAUCAUCCAUAGCUUAUAUCAAAGUACUUCCUUCAUAAAAGUUGUUCGUAUGUCUCUCUAAAUUUCAGGAAAUUCCAACAGUGAGAUCGUUCCAUAUGUUUGAAAUACCAACCCAGUCUCCAAUCCUGCAAAAAUAGACAGUCAUGUAAUGAGUACCAAAACCCAAUUUUCCGUGGCUCAGAUCGAAAUACUUCCUUCACAAGAGUUGUUCCUAUGCCCCUCUACCAUAACAUAUACAAAUUCCAGAAAGAUCCAAAAGUCCAUUCAUUCCAGAUCCUUAAAAUACUAUCACAGCCUUGAAAAUUCUCAGAAAACCCUACAGUCAUGUUUGGAGCUUCAAAACUCCAACUUCCUUAGCUCAAAUAGAGACACUUCCUUCAUAUCAGUUGUUUCUUAUCAUCUUUUCUAUGACAUAGUGGUGAAGGAAGAAGAGAAGAAGAGGGAGGAAAUGAAAUUGAAAACAACAAAAAGGAGGAAAUGGUAAUGUAUUGUUUAUCAUUUAUGUUGUUGUUAAAGAUUAUUAUUUUGUUGUUUAUUUAUGAUUAUAUUACUCUUGUUACUAAGUAAUUUGAUUUAUGUUGAAGCUUGCAGGCUUGUUAGAUAAAAUGUGAGUAUUGAUAUCUAUGUGAACAUGACAUAUACAUAAGCAUUCAUCCAAAGCAAGAAAAAGAGUUGUGUUGUGUCAAUUGCUCACUUGUGCAAAGUGUUUAAGUUGUGAGGAUAUUCAAUGGCUGAAGUUUGCCUUGAAUAUAAAAUAAUGAACCUUGUAUAUAUCAGGCGUUGGGCGUAGGGUUUGAGUAUACAACCAGUUGGGUAUAAAUUAAUAAAAUCUUGUAUAUGUCAGAGUCAGAAGAAGGGCUUAAAUAUACAAUUGGGCGUCGGGGGAACUGCAUAUAUGAUAAAGUGAAAACUUAGAAUUUAAUUCUAAAAAUUGGGCUUAAGGGAUGAAUGGGAGUUAACUCAUAUUCUAAGGUAUUUAGAGCCAAGUGGUAUAAGCAUGGUAUAGGACGUGCAAGCUUGGAUGUCUUAGGUAUGUGUUAGCGGGAUUAGAAGGGAGUGAGUACAUUCAUCCAUCCCAUUUGCAUAUAUCUUAUGUAUUUGCAAGAAUUGUUACAAUUUAAUCAUUAUUUCAUUGCUAGUUCUUGUUGUGAAUUAAUUUGUACACUAUUUUAUUCUAAUGCGUAUUCGAUAAAUUUUAUGUAAGAUUUUGUUAUGUGAUGACACACCCUGACCCAAAAUGUCUAUUGGACUCCAAAUUGAGAUGUGUUGGUUGACACCAGGAAGGUGACGAAGCCAUAAAGUGUAGUGAAGUGGAAAAUGUGAAUAAAUUUAAACCUAAAAAUGCCUAAAUAUAAAAGUGCCUUGUAAGCGGGAAUGAACACAUUUCACACGUGAUGUCAGAGCAUAAGUAAAGUACAGUAAAAUUAGAAUGUGCACUAUACCAUCUGAAGUGGCCUCCGAUAUCUGCAUUUGCCAGAAAUCCUCGUCGACACGAACACUACCAUUAAAACCUGGAGGGGCGAAAAAUAAGGAUAAGUGGGCCUAAAAAUAAAACUUUGUAAAACCUUUUUGAAAACGUAAUAACCCCUCGCUGUAAAAUAAGUAUAAUUUCUAAAUAUACAUACUACGUAUAGUAUGAAAAUACUUACUAUAGCCUGCAAUAUCGCAAGAAUGCCAUACGUCGCAAUAUUACGUAAAUAAACACAUAAUGAUAGAUAUCACAUAAUCUCGCAUAAACAAACAUAUCAUAUCCAGUGCUCAUCGACAUAUGCUGACACACGAGUUCAUGUUGAGAUAUUCUGACAUGAACAUGACUGGGUGUAAUAAUGAUUUAUGCUCUAGUACUACAAUCACAUGAUGACUGGCACUAAAUGUGUCACAUACAAGUCCUAAUUGCCUAUAGCAAUCUAGGACAGGAAUGACACCUACAAUGGAUCCAAAGUGAGUAUAUGGUGCGAUGUGAACAUACAUGUGAUGCUUGGCCCUGGCCUGGGCGAGUACUGACACUAGUGUAGUACACGAUGAGCAAAUAACAUAAAUACAAUCAUGAAACAGUAAAUAGAUAAUUCACAUUGACAUAAUACUAAUCAAUAAAAUAUUAACCAUGGCCAUAAUUAAAAUUCUAUAAAAGUACGCAUACCUAUGCAUCUCGUAGGAUUUAGGAUAAUUUCGUAAAUUCUGUCAUUUCGCUAAUUCUUAUAAACAUUAGUCUGAUCUAGGCCUACGUAGGAAAUUCUUUUUCAAAUGUAUAAAUGGAAACUAAAUAAAUAUAUAAUAUUUAAAAGCAAAGACCCACUCACAGAUACUUGUGAAGUCGUAGCCGUUCGAACGAGGGAAGCUGGAGUCUCUGAUAGUAAUCGUAUGUACCUAACCAUAAUAUUGAGACCCAUUAGUAAAACUCAACUAAAAUGAUUAAAUUUGAGAAAAUAGAGUGCGGAUUUGGAAUCAAGACGUCGAAAUAUGCUAAGAAAGGUCCUGGGAAAUUUUUGUAAAAAGUCAACGAAAAGUCAACAGUCAACCCUAAAAGUCAACCGAGCCUCUUUGGCGGUUAACUACGUUUAAACUUUGGAUUUUCACUAAAUGGAUGUCAAAAAUGGACUCAGGGUGUCGAAAUUAGCCUAAGAGGGUUUCCGAGAAAAUUUUGAAAAAGUCAACUAACGGUCAACAGUUAACAUUAACGAAAUACUCUGUUAAAGUUAAAUAGAAGUUAACGGAAUAUUUCAAGGGAAUAUUCCCUCUAAUUUCAUAAAUGAACCUGGGUCGGUCUUGCGGAUCCUGGUCAGAUCUAGCCCACAGAUCGGGGUUUGGAUUUUUUUUUUUCAGUUGCCGCUACAAUUGUAAAAAACUAGCGACUUGGCCGAGAAACCUCCACAGCUCUGAUUAACUUCAAAACUCAACUAUUUUUCAAACUCUAUUUACCAAAAUGAAGUUUAAGAGAAGAGGAAGAGAAAUGUACCAACAUGAGGUCUUGCCGUGGCCGGAGUUGGCCAGAAAAUGGCUCGAAGGUCAUCAGAUCCUUCACCGGAAAACUGGGUAAAACAUCCCGAGGUUUUUCCUACCAUUAAACUAGUCCAAAAUCACAUUUCAUACCUAAAUUUGAUACUCAAUGAUGAAAAAGGAAGAAAUAGAAGGUUCCUGAGGCUUACCCCUAGUCAGAAAGCAGAGGUCUCACGGGAGAACAUGGUGUCGGCGGUGGUUUAUUUUCAUUUGUAGGUGACAGAGACGAGAGAGAAAUAAGUUAGCUCAGGGCUUUGCCCCUCAUCUCUGGUCGUGCACUUGGGUGGUGAUGACGGAGUCACAAUGCUCGUCGAAGUGGGAAAGGGUGGUUGGUGUUGACGUUUGCAGAGAAGAGAAAGGGUGAGGGCGAUAGAGAUUAGAGUGAGAAAGAGCUGGGAAAGUGAGAGAGAGUCCAAAUGUGGAGGAGAAGGUGCCAAGGGGCAAGAGAAGAGAGGAAAGUUUGUGUGGGUGUGGCCCUCAUGGCUAGAAAAAUUAAUAAAAUAUUAAAAUUAUCCCACCAAAAUUACUAAAAUGAUAAAAUACCCAAAGUUCAAAUUUCAUAACACACCUUCAAGUUUCGUAGUUCCACAAAGUCUUCAUUGUAGCUCCAAAUUCGAUUCUGCUUGAGCCUACGCAUUUGUAUCGUCGAGUACUUUGAGAAUACGGUAAAAUAGUAGCUCGUACGCGUUAUGAAUUGACAGUCAAUGAAAGUCAACAAUCUCGCCUCAAGGGGCAUUUUUAUCAAUUCACUCCUUUAAAAUUUAUAAAAUCGUAAAAUUAGGGAUGGGUUGUUAUAUGUGAUGCAUGUGUAAUCGCUAUAAUUUAAUUUAAUUUUCCACCAUAUCUUGGUUGUAGAAUUUAUUUAUAUAGCUAAGAUAUGACUCACAUUCUAACUCGUGAAUGUAUUUAUUCGUAGGUUGGAGCGUGGUAAAAUGGUAUCAGAGCUUAGGACUAGAUACCCUAGGAUAGUACUUGUGGUGUUUACCAUAUUUGUCGUAUAGCCUUUUAUUUUACAUUCCCUAGUUAUGAUUUCAAAGUAUUAUGUUGGAGUAAGUUGGGAUUUGACUUAUGCCUUGAUGGGUAUUUUCUUGUGAGCUAGAUUGUGGUUUUGGACUCAUAUUAUUGUACAGCAAAGAUAAUGAAAUGGUGGUUCAUGUCUUUCGGAAUUUGUGUUUUGUUUCAAAAAAAAUGCUGAGUUUUUCAACGAUGCUCAUCUAUUUCAAUAUACUUACUUGUGUAAUGGUUUUGUAAAAUGGUAAUUUAACUACUUGUUGUUUAACACUUGCAAUUUGUUUGCAGGAAUAUAUUUUCUUUAGUAAAUGUUUGUAAAUUUUGAUGGUGAAACAAAUUUGGAUGUAAUUCAUUCCUACUCACAAAGGAAAAGGAAAGAAAAAGGGCCAUUGUGAAGUGAAAUUCUCAUUCCUACACUAGUUGGUAAUGUCAAUAAUAAAUCUCAUUCCUACAUAGUUUUGGGCUAUGUGAUGAGUUAUAAAAUUUUAAAUGAUAGGUGGUGAGAAUAUAGGAAUCCAAUUAGUAAGGUGAUUGGUGAGUUACAAUAUCGAUUUGUAUAACCAUCAAUUUUCCUACACUGAUUUCAUUAUUAAGCGAUUUUCAAUUAAAAGACUAAUUUUGUUUUCCUAUAAGGUUCACUAUAGAGGUGUUUUGCUAGAGUUGGAAGGCCUAAAUUGGAGAAUUGCAAUCAACUUUAUAUGGAAAGGUAGUCUCCAUGCAACCACUCUAACUAAAUCCUUUCUUAAUGUUUUCAAACUAUUACUAUUUGUUAUAUAUUUUACUAUGUCUUUGAGAAUUGUUUACCUUAUUAAUAUAACGAUUAAAUUUUACAAAUUUCGAGGACGAAAUUUAUUUUAAGGAGGGUAGAUUGUAAUACCCCGUAUUUAAAAAAAAAAGAGUAUAUGUAUCGUAUUAUUUCUAUAUUACAAAAGUUUUGUAUCUCUCUGUAAUUGUAUUUCCUCUAUUUUAGUUUAUUGGACAAAUAUACCUAAUUACUAAUAGAAUGAGAGAUAGGAAUUUUGUUAGUAGAGUUAGUUUGAUAUUUUCCCACAAAAGACCAAGAUUUUGAGGUGGGACUAAUUGAGUAAUUUUGUCUUGUUAUUUUAUCCAAAGGAUGAGGUGGAAGUUGGUAAUUAAUAGAAGUUAAUAAUUAGGGUGAAGAGGUGGAGUCUAUAGCAUGUCUAUGUUAGUCUAUUAGCAUGCAUGAGGCAAUGUUUGUGGUAUUAGAAGUGCUUACUCAUUAAUCUAAAGGAAUUUUAAUCAUUUGGGCAAUUUUCUCACUCCAAUGCAACUCAAAGCCUUUACGUGGCCUUUGAUGCUUGCAUCCAUCUUGCAUGAUAUUCAUUUGUUCAUAAUUAACUUGACACUUGUUGCUUUGCCACUUGAACACUUAUCAUUCUUAAUAAUUAGGACAACACUUGUUGCCUUAUUAUUGGAACACAUUUUAUGGUGAUGAUUAGCACAAUACUUGGUUUAUUUCUAUUGGCACACUUGGAAGCUUUUGUUGGAGUAGUUAUGUUUUUAUUUAAAUAUUCAUACAUAUUUAUGUUUUGUUUUAUUAGAAAUAUUAACUAUAUAAUUGUUAAUUGCUAAGAACCUUAUCAGUUAAUAAGGAGUAAUUGGCACCGGGAGCAUUUUUGCUCACCACCAUAAACUAUGGUGUAUGCUCACCAUACACCUAAUCAAUUGACAAACGCUUAGUUAAGAACAUGAGUAACUUAGGCUUUUUAACUAACUUAUCAUUGAAUGAUUUUGAAAAUUGUGAAUAUUGUAGUCAAGUUAAAAUCACUAGAACUUAGCAUAAAUCUGUCAAUAGAGAAUUUGAACCACUUGACUUAAUUCAUUCCGAUAUAUGUGAAUUUGAUUGAGUGUUAACUAGAAAUGGAAAACGUUAUUUUAUUACCUUUAUUGAUAAUUGUUCAAAUUAUUGUUUUUUCUAUCUUAUGAAAAAUAAAAGUGAAGCUAUUGACUUGACUAAAGUUGAAAAUCAAUUUAAUUGUAAGAUUAAAAGAUUUCGUAGUGAUAGAGGAAGAAUAUGAAUCCACUGAAUUCAUUAAUUAGUCUCAUGGAAUUAUUCAUGAAACUACUGCUCCUUAUUCUCCUGAAAUGAAUGGUAAAGCGGAAAGAAAAAAUCGAAUUCUUUGUGAAUUGACUGUUGCUACUUUACUUAGUUCUGGAACUGCUUCUUAUUGGUUGCGUGAAAUUGGUUGUGUGAAAUUGUGUUGAUUGUAUGUUAUGUGUUAAAUAGAAUUCCUAACUCAAAAAUGAACAUUUCUCCUUAUGAAAUUUGGAAAAAUAAGAAACCAAAUGUGCUGUAUUUUAGAACAUGGGGUUGUUUAGCUUAUGUUUGUAAACCUGAUCCAAAAAGAUCGAAAUUGGCUAGUAGAGCAUAUGAAUGGACUCCGUGGAGUUAAAUCAAACUUGGCACUUGGUGAAUCUUUGAUAGGAGCAUAUUUAUGCGACUUAGUUAACAUGUUUUCUUGCAUUUACUUAGUUAGUUAUUGCUUAUAAGAGUGUUUUAAGCUAUUUUCGUGUGUUUGUAGGUCUUAAUAACAAAGUUGGAAAGAAAGUGCAUUUUGGUGCAAUUUGGAGCAAUUUUGGGCCAAAAUGGAUUGCAUGC